rnacentral:ribozyme from 1 species
UAAAAAGAAAGAAAAGAGAGAACACCAGAAACACAAAUUUUUUUCGAAAAAACCGUUUUUUUUCGAUUCCUUUUUUUUUUUUCAAUUUUUCUCUCUUUUAAUU